rnacentral:rRNA from 1 species
GACGAACGCUGGCGGCGUGCUUAACACAUGCGAGUCGAACGGAAAGGCCCUGCUUUUGUGGGGUGCUCGAGUGGCGAACGGGUGAGUAACACGUGAGUAACCUGCCCUUGACUUUGGGAUAACUUCAGGAAACUGGGGCUAAUACCGGAUAGGAGCUCCUGCUGCAUGGUGGGGGUUGGAAAGUUUCGGCGGUUGGGGUUGGACUCGCGGCGUAUCAGCUUGUUGGUGGGGUAGUGGCUUACCAAGGCUUUGCGGGGUAGCCGGCCUGGGAGGGUGACAGGCCACAUUGGGACGGAGAUGAGGCCCGGACCCCAACGGGAGGCGGCGGUGGGGAAGAGUGCACAAGGGGCGGAGGCCUGAUGCAGCAAAGCCGCGUGGGGGAUGACGGCAUUCGGUUUGUAAACCGAUUUCGCCUGUGACGAGGCGUGAGUGACGGUAAUGGGUAAAGAAGCACCGACUAACUACGUG